AGGACCGCAGUGAGGAGAGGAGGUGAAAGGAGAGGACAGGAGGACCGCAGUGAGGAGAGGAGGUGAAAGGAGAGGACAGGAGGAGGUGUGAGGGUGAAUGAGUUCUCUCACACAAACAGAGAGAAAGGAGAAGAGGUAAGGAAAGAAGGACAGAGACAAGAGAGCAGAGGAGGAAGGGGAAGAGAGGAGGAGGGAGGGUGACACCAAGUCUAAACUUUCACACAAAGAGGAGGACCGAGGAGAGGAGGGGAGGUGAAAGGAGAGGAGGUGGGAGGGUGUACUGAAUAUCAUCUUUCACACAAAAAGAGAGAAAAUAUGAGCGGAAAGGAAGGGAGGAGAGGAGAGGAGAGGAGAGGAGGUGGGAGGGUGAACAGGGAGAACUCUUCUGAGGAAGGAAAAUAUCAGUUUAUAUGUUUUUCAUCAUCAGAUUUCAUGACUUUUGUCUUUCUGUUCAUCUUUCACUGGUUAUUUUAAUAUCUUAACUUUACUUACAUCUUGUCUACCAUUUUUCUGUCAAAGUCGAGAGAAGAGAGGAGGUGAAGGAGAGGAGAGGAGAUGAAGGAGAGGAGAGGAUGUGAAGGAGAGGAGAGGAGGGGAUAGAGAGGAGAGGAGGUGAA